AAAAAUCUUACUUCAUCAAAAUCAAACCACUUAAAAAUUUGUAAGACACUGAAAAUGUAUCAUCAACUCAUAGAUUCAGUUGGCAUAAAAGUCCUCUCCUUCCUCGCAGUCCUCGUCUGAUGGAGGCCAAGCCCCGGAGACCUCCGACUUGGUUAUCUUUCAAGCAGAUAGAGAAAGUGAGUCACAGUGUUCCUCAGGGACUUGCCCAUGGUGAAGGAAUGGCUAAGCUGGAAAAAAAUAACAUCUGAAAUCACCCACUAAAAGUCUCUGAUCCAAAAGGCGACUGUGGCCCAGUUGAAAACAGCCACUGAGCAAGGACGGUUGGAACUGUCAACGAUCGUUGCUUUCAGUUGCACAAGAAGGAGCGCGAGCAGCAGACCGCGCGGACCUGCUGCGUCUGCUCAGGCCCCGAGGAGCAGGCCUGCACGUGGGUGGGAAGGCGCAGCUUGGGACUGUCCCUGUGGGUCUGGCCAUGGGACAGCAGACCCGCAGGCGGAGCUGGGCGCCAUGCCAUCCGUGAUUCUUUCUUCUGGGCUGCAAACGCCAGCGUUGUGCUGCUGGAGUUGGCACAGGAACGAGUCUUCCUUGCGCUACAGGAUCUGGGAACUGGGCCCAGGUCGCUUUGCCUGCUGUUCAACAAAAGGCUCAUCCUUACAAAGGCCCACCGGGAGUUUCUGCCCGUCAGCACCAGACUUGUCAGAUGACCUGUGCUCCCGGAACUUGGACACGUUCUGGAUGAUGAGCGACUCCACCAAGAACCCCAAAGAUCUGGUGGCCCCGUCUGGCAUCACGCCGCAGGGUCACUGCAAUGUGGAGGCUUCUUGGCCCUUUGCUUCAGGGAUGGAGAGAGAGGCUAUGGAAAGAAGGGGACCAAACUCGGUGGUGGUAACCAUCAAAAUCUCAUCAAACAAAUCAGAGCCAUUAGUCACAUCAUCUGUCGUGUCAACUCACUGUUGUCCCCUUACUCUGUGACUACUUUUCCAGAGACAACAUGCUCUCCAUUUUGCCAUUGGAGGUGUUGGAAGUUAAGGUUUUCUUUUCUGGAAAAUCUUGAAAUCCAGGCACUGUCUUGUCUCAGAGGGUUAUCCUGUGUCAUCUUUAUGUCCUACAAUUAGGAUUAUAACUUCUUGUUUUGAAUAUCCAUGUCCACAAAAUGCUUUUGAAUUCCUUUCCCUUUAUCAGCUAAGUCCCUCUCCACAGUGUCAUUGGCCUGUUUGAGCUGUUUAUUCUUGGUCUUCCAAGUUUUGAAAACCAAGUGUCCAUACAGGACUCUCCUCUUAAGUCUAAUCUUCUCACUAAUAGCUGGCUUAUAUUUGAGCUCUAUUUCAGUUUCUCUCUCUCAAACUACAUUUCAAUUUCCUUCUCUAAGUCAGCUCUUCCAUUUCUUCCAGUUGGUUUUUGGUUUCCCCACCAUGAUCUCUCCCUUCUGCCAAAGAGUAUGAGUUCAGGGAAUUUACAGCAUUAUUUUUGCAAGACAUUUACCUUCCAGACUGCCUUGUGACCGGGCUGCAGUCACAUUGUAGGAGCCAGUUUAUAGGCUCCUCUUGAAGAAGAAGGGCCUAACUGGGAUGGGUGGUAAUGGGAGUCAGCUGAUUCUUGCACAACAUGGAUGGAGGUCUUUUUCUUGUGAGGACAGUGGGCUAUUACCAAAUUUCUAUUCUGUAGCUCCAUUAAUCCACCUUUGGAACUCUUAAUGGAUUUGGUGAGAAAAAAAAAAGAAGAGUAUCCCUUUCUUCCUAUAUAACAGUCAUGGAUUCAGGAGCUGCCUUUCCUCCUGGAGGAGCUAAAGUCACACGACCUGUUUUUUGUAGGUACCUACUCCUUAUAGGUAAAUCUUUUUUUCUUUUUUUUAACCUGUUUAUUCUGUCUUAUAUUCAGCUUAGUGGAUUCUUUCUUUAUGAGGCAUUCUAAAUGUUGGUUUCUUCCUGGUAAGAUGUUUAUCACUUCCAGGGCAAACUCACCUGGGCAGUUGGCAGCAUCUGAGAGCCUCUUCAUGCAGUUAUUCACUGGCUACUGGGACAGGCCUUGUAAUGGAGCAGGGGUGAGUGCUAAAUGGCCCUUACUGAUGGCCCAUAGCUGCUGAAUGCUCUGCUCUCGUUUUUGGAGAAGAUUCAUGGGCUGGAGUGGAUGGAGCUAGAAAAACAGAGGGAAAUCAAUCUGAGGAAAUCAGAUGCUGCAUUCUCUGUUCUGGUGUCCCUAAGGGACCUCGUCUCUCCUUGCCACUGCUGCACCGUUGUCCAGGAGGAAGGGACAUGGUUGCGUUGAGAAUGAGAUACAACACCAAGCCCAGGAGAGGGCUCAGAGUAGGAGCAGAGGUUCUACUACUACUGUUAGACCCAGAGCAGCCGCUGCUGCUUGACGACUCUCUGGCUCACACUGAGAUGGCUUCUCAGCUGAUUGCCCAGGCCUUGCGGCCAGAUAUGUAUGUAAUGCCUACACCUAAUGGUUUUAGCAUCUACUGAUGACCUCUAUUGAAUUAUUUAUUAAAUUUGGAGUUGCAAAAUGAUAGUUUUCUAAUUAGUAGCUGGCAUUUUUCAAGAAAAAAGGAAUUUCCUAUUUCGUAUUUUCCCCUUUUGUUUGAUAGGUAUUGCUGUGAGCUUUUAAAAAAAUUUUUCAAUAUUUUAGACUGAUUUAGAGUCUUUUUUUUUGGUAUGCUUAUUGUCACAUAUUUGGCCAAUGGGAGCCCCUUCAAGUUGGCUUCUGGGUCCUUUUGACGUAACUUCAUUAAUUUUGUUGUUUGUUUUUUUGGUAUUUCCUUUCUGGAGCUACUACAUCUAACAUGCAUGUAUUUUCCCUGGUGCAGAUUUAUUAUCAUCCAUAUUCCCAAUGAUCCCUGAUUACUUUUAGUGGGAAAUGGUAUCUAGAAAACAAGACAUGGUCAUUAGGUGAGCUCAUUGCUACCAGAGUGUCAUUACUUCUAGGUUGUUUUGGUGGAUCAUUUAUUCAGUUUGGUAAGAUCUUAUUUGCUUCAUAUCAGUCAUGUUUUCUUUGGCUAGAUUGCAACUCUAGAUAAAAUUUUUGAAGAAGGGCACAUAAGUAGCAAACUAUGCAGGCUGUGGUAAUGUUAUGAACCAAAAAGAAUACAACAGAAAGACUUUGAAAAUGUCUUUACGUUGCUUUGGUGCAUGGAUAGAUGUGGUGAGACAUAGAACUCAGGCACCACAUCUUUUUCUCAAAUUCAGCAGAUGUUGGUUGUCCUAGUAAUUUCUGUUUCUGAUUUUGAUGAGUCUGAGGUUAGCCCUUUCUUGUGGUUGGUUGGUUGUAGGUGAUUUAAAAAAAAAUUCUUACCCAGAUAAUAGGAUUCCUUGAAAUUAAAUUAUUUCAUGAGGAAUUUUUGAAAUUAAAUGACUACAUUUUCAUAAGAGUAUAAUUAUAUCUAGAAACUUGGAGAAACUUUUAUAAUUUCAUGUUAACAAAUAAGCUAUGGAUCUACAUUUAAUGUUGGGGCAGGGAGGAAUAUGCUACCUGGGCAGCCUUAGUCUGGAAGUUUUUCUCUAAUUUCUGUCUCAAUUUGUUAAAUAAUAAUACCUGUGAUCACCUUUGAGAGCUCCCUCUGUGUUUCCUCCCACUGCUUUAAGGGACCAACCACAUUUUUGUUAAAAUGAGUAGGACUGACUCUCCGAAGCAUGUUGGCAUGUUUAUUUUGUACUUCAUCAAAUAGUUUCGUUUCACUAUUACUACUGUUCCAUAGCUGCGAAGUUGACUUCCUUUCAGAUCUCAUCUUCCCUGUGGUUUAAAGAGUUGUGAUUCAGGGACAGGGGAGAGGGGAAGGGGAAACAACUUAGCAAAUAUUUUCUUUAAUUAUUUCUCCCAGUGUCUCCUUUCCUGUAGUGGUGAAAGGACCCAAAGUGGUGGAGAGUUUUCAACUUGCUUCCUGCCAAGCUGAGGGAUAUUUUACAAGUCUCUUUUAGAUUUCUUUCCACGUUUACCAGCAAGACUACAGUGUGCUCAUUUGCAGCAAGACAUGUGCAUGCUACUGGUUAAUUCUCUCAGUUUUUUUCAAAAUUGUAUUUUCCUCUGGCCAAUAUUGUUUGGAUUUUGUGUUAUUAGUGUGAACCUUUUCCUACUUUGAGUAUAGGACAUUUUAUUUUGUGGAGAUUUAUUUCAGAGGGUGUCCUGAGGGAGGGCAGGGUUUUAAAUGUGUACUUGGGAUGCCACUGUCUUCAAGGCCAGAGAAACUUAGACAGUGGUGAUUUUGCAACUCCAGAAACAAGAAUUCACUUCAAGAGUAAGCCCAGGUGCCUUCUGAUUUGCCUAUUCAAUACUUCAAAAUUCAAAAUCCAAGAGCAGUUGGGAUGCAAAAGAAAAUCGUGCCUAGCUCCAUCCUUUUUUUCUUUCUACCUCCUAUUUAAAAAUCACAGUACAAGAUACUGCCUUAGAGAAUCUAUUUAGAUAUAGAGAAAUCUAGUCAGAUACUAAGGAUCCAAGAUUACUUUCCAAAAUGAAUCACUAUUAUGAACAGCAAAUGUAAGCAAACAUAAUUUAUUUCAGAUAAGUCACAUGUCAGAUCUAAGCAAAUGCAGUAGAUUUUUCACAUUGUGAAACAAUGUUCUCAAUCCAGAAGUUGGAGACUGAGGCAUUUCUCCUGUUGAAAAAUGUCAGGCCAGGUGAAUAAUACAUUAUGGUCAAAUUCCAGUCUAGAACUUUAUAGAACUGGAAUCAUACAGUUUGUACUCUUUUGUGUCUGGCUUCUUUCAUUCAGCAUAAUGAUUUUAAAUUUAUCCUUCUUGUUGUGUAAGUAGAUUGUUCUUUUUUAUUGCUGAGUAGAAUUCCAAUAUGUGAAUUGCCACAAUUUAUGCAAUCUUCUGUUGAUGGACAUCUGGGAUAUUCCAGCUUUCUGCCAUUAUGAAUAAAGCAGCUAUGGAAUCUUUUUUUAUGUCAUUUCCCUUGAAUAAAUUCUUAAAAAUGACACUUUGAGGUCAGUAGGUAGAUAUAUGUUUAUUUUUGUAAGAACUGCCUAUUUCUAAAAUGGCUGUACCAUUUUACAUUCCUGCAAAGAAUAUAUGAGAACUCCAACGGGUCCACCUGUUUCUAAUAUCUGAUAUUAGAUAUCUAAUAUCUAAUAUCUGGUCAUGUUGUUUUGUUUGUUUUUAGCUGUUCUGUGGGAGUGUAGAGAUAUUGUAGUUUUAAUUAUAAUUCCAAAAACUUAUAGUUGAAUAUCAAAUACACUUCCCGAAACUUAUAGUUGAAUAUCAAAUCAGAAAACAGUGCUAG
rnacentral:lncRNA from 1 species